rnacentral:rRNA from 1 species
UCAUCUGUUGCCGGCAUUUAAGGUGGGGACUCAGAUGAGACUGCCGGUGACAAACCGGAGGAAGGUGGGGACGACGUCAAGUCAUCAUGGCCCUUAUGUCCUGGGCUACACACGUGCUACAAUGGCCGGUACAGAGUGAAGCGAAACCGCGAGGUGAAGCAAAACGCAGAAAGCCGGUCUCAGUGCGGAUUGGAGUCUGAAACUCGACUUCAUGAAGUUGGAAUCGCUAGUAAUCGCGCAUCAGCAUGGCGCGGUGAAUACGUUCCCGGGCCUU